CAAGUAGGGUUGUAAAUGAAUCGAAUAAUUUUGCUCGAUUCGAGAUUCGAUUCGAAAUUGCCUGAUUCGUAUUCGAAAUUAUUCGAUUCGUAUUCGAUAAUAAAUAUUCGAUUCGAUUCGAUUAUUAUUCAAAUACUUAAAUGAAAUAUUGAUAUUCGAUUCGAUAUUCGUAGUUAUUCGAUUCGAAAUAUAUAUAUAUAUAUAUAAAUAAUUUUUUAUUUUAAAUUAUUGAAUAUACUAAAAAGUAAAACCUAAACCUAAACCUAAUUCACUAAAAGUUAUUCCUCAAAUCUCAUCGCCGCACAGCUCAUUCCUGCACCUCAAAUCUCAUCCUCAACCUCAAAUCUCAAAUCUCAUCGCCGCACAGCUCAAAUCUCCUCCUCAACCUCAUUCCUCAAAUCAGCGCCGCACAGCUCCCUCCUGCACCUAAACCUCGUCGCCCCACCCCCGCCGCAGAUCUGCGCCUGCACCGCGCCGCGCCGCCUGCAUCUGCACCGCGCCGCGUCGCCGCAUACCUCUGCAUCGCCGCCUGCUCCAGAGAUUGCACCGCGCCACAUCGCCGCCUGCAUCUGCACCGGUCGCCGCACCUGCAUCUGCAUCGCCGCCUGCUGCUCCAACUUCUGCAUAUCUAUCUUGAGAGAGAGAGGGAGAAAUGGGUCAGGGGAAUCUCCUCUGCAUAUCGCUGCCGCUAACGGCCAGAUCGAGAUUCUCUCGUUGCUUCUCGACUGAUCCGUGAAGCCGGAUGUGUUGAAUCGGCAUAAACAGAAUGCAGUUAAUGGCCAAUUCAAAUCUAAUAGAAAAUACUCCUCAAGUAGAUGAGAUUACGGUGGAAGUGAAUGAUGUGGAGAAAGAAGUUGUGGAUUGAAGAGGUGUUUGCAAAAGAAGCUUCACGUUAAGUUACAAGCUUGAAGGAAGAUUGAAUGCUUGACAUUUGUUCUAGUAUCAUGUUAUUUUGAUGUAUUUGAAACUUUUCAUGAUGUAUGUUUCUACAUGGAUAUUGUUUAUUUCACAAUAUUUUGAAUUUGUGGCUUAUAUAUUAUUUAACAUUUUUUU